rfam:Salmonella Typhimurium DT104 DNA, putative pertussis-like toxin gene (artAB) and its flanking region.
UAUUGUCGGUGUCUGGCAUCUGACAAGGGGCGAUGAUAUCUGCCAUAACGGUGAAGCAGAAGUACUGUCUGGGCCGUUACAGCCACCAGUUUAAAUGAC